GCGCAAACCGCUGUGUUGUGCAACAUCUCAUCGUCAGGUGGGGGUUAUAUUCGCCAUGUCGCGCCGCAGCCCUUACUUAAUGCCGUGCAGACGCGACUGCCCGGCAGCUGCAGCAAUAUACCUGGCGCGGGAUGUGUCUGUCUAUGCAUGGAUGGACCGGGCCGCACCUGGGGGCAGGCGAGGUGAGGGGAGUUUCUGGGGGCGCCUUAGAAUCUAGGCAAGUGCUGGUGGUAGUGUUGUUGUUGUUGGUAGUGAUGGUAAUGAGUCACGGAGAAAUGCACUUUGAAAUGCACAUGUUAUAGAGCCAGGGCUUGCAGGGCAGGUUUCUCGAAAUGGAAAAAGGGCAUGGGGUAACGCAUCGCCGAUUGACGGCCGCAGAAGCACUGGUCGCCGUCGCUGGCAGAGGUCAAGGUUACCCGGCUCUGCGUGGCCGGCUCUGCAUGGUUAGGGACACGGUGGCUGUGCAGGCCUGACAGGCGUUUUGUAUUGGAGGUAUAAGGGCAUUAAUGAGACUGAGGAGUACAGUAGAGCUUGUUUGCAUAUGCCGACAUGUAUAGCAUGGCGUGCGCUGGAAUAGGCACGGAAAGACGUUUUGACGGCGUUUCAAGCUAGGAAGAACCCGGCGAGCCAGGAACGAAGGGCCCGAGGACCAACCAACAAAAGUCCGUGAUGUAAACGUAAAGCAAUGCUUAUGAAUGGAUAGCUUACCGUAUAGUUGCCUGAAAAUACUAAACCUUAGUAGCACCCGCGACACCUAGCUCCUAAGGUAGAUACCAGGCGGUUUCCAGUUAUUCCCGUUGCCGCGUUCUGCUACACUAAAACAUUUACCACGCCACCAGGUAGAGCGCCAUAAGUUAAGAAAUCGCUAAAAUUAUUCU
rnacentral:lncRNA from 1 species